UAGGGAUAGACUGUUGCAAUUUUUCAGUCUUGAACGAGGAAUUCCUAGUAAACGCAAGUCAUCAGCUUGCAUUGAUUACGUCCCUGCCCUUUGUACACACCGCCCGUCGCACCUACCGAUUGAAUGACUCUGUGAAUAAUUGGGACCGUG